rnacentral:rRNA from 1 species
UACGAAGGGGCUAGCGUUGCUCGGAAUCACUGGGCGUAAAGGGUGCGUAGGCGGGUUUUAAGUCAGGGUGAAAUCCCGGAGCUCAACUCCGGAACUGCCUUUGAUACUGGAGAUCUUGAGUCCGGGAGAGGUGAGUGGAACUGCGAGUGUAGAGGUGAAAUUCGUAGAUAUUCGCAAGAACACCAGUGGCGAAGGCGGCUCACUGGCCCGGUACUGACGCUGAGGUGCGAAAGCGUGGGGAGCAGACAGG